rnacentral:rRNA from 1 species
GGCUUAGAGUUUGAUCAUGGCUCAGGAUAAACGCUGGCGGCGCACAUAAGACAUGCAAGUCGAACGAACUUAACCUUAAUGUUUACAUUUAGGAGCGGUUAGUGGCGGACUGGUGAGUAACACGUAAGUAAUCUGCCUAUCAGAGGGGAAUAACAAUGAGAAAUCAUUGCUAAUACCGCAUAUGCUGUAAGGUUCGCAUGAACCAAGCAGGAAAGGAGCAAUCCGCUGAUAGAUGAGCUUGCGUCUGAUUAGCUAGUUGGUGUGGUAACGGCAUACCAAGGCAACGAUCAGUAGCCGAGCUGAGAGGCUCAACGGCCACAUUGGGACUGAGAUACGGCCCAGACUCCUACGGGAGGCAGCAGUCGGGAAUAUUGCACAAUGGAGGAAACUCUGAUGCAGUGACGCCGCGUGCAGGAAGAAGGUUUUCGGAUUGUAAACUGCUUUAGACAGGGAAGAAGAAAGACAGUACCUGUAGAAUAAGCUCCGGCUAACUACGUGCCAGCAGCCGCGGUAAUACGUAGGGAGCGAGCGUUAUCCGGAUUUAUUGGGUGUAAAGGGUGCGUAGACGGGAAAGUAAGUUGGUUUUGAAAGCCCUCGGCUUAACUGAGGAAUUGGAACCAAAACUAUUUUUCUUGAGUGCAGGAGAGGAAAGUGGAAUUCCUAGUGUAGCGGUGAAAUGCGUAGAUAUUAGGAGGAACACCAGUGGCGAAGGCGACUUUCUGGACUGUAACUGACGUUGAGGCACGAAAGUGUGGGGAGCAAACAGGAUUAGAUACCCUGGUAGUCCACACCGUAAACGAUGGAUACUAGGUGUAGGGGAUGAUUUCAUUUUCUGUGCCGUCGCAAACGCAGUAAGUAUCCCACCCUGGGAGUACG